CUUGUGGCUGGGGGUGAAAGGCCAAUCAAACCGGGAGAUAGCUGGUUCUCCCCGAAAGCUAUUUAGGUAGCGCCUCGUGAACUCAUCUUCGGGGGUAGAGCACUGUUUCGGCUAGGGGGUCAUCCCGACUUACCAACCCGAUGCAAACUGCGAAUACCGAAGAAUGUUAUCACGGGAGACACACGGCGGGUGCUAACGUCCGUCGUGAAGAGGGAAACAACCCAGACCGCCAGCUAAGGUCCCAAAGUCACAGUUAAGUGGGAAACGAUGUGGGAAGGCUCAGACAGCCAGGAUGUUGGCUUAGAAGCAGCCAUCAUUUAAAGAAAGCGUAAUAGCUCACUGGUCGAGUCGGCCUGCGCGGAAGAUGUAACGGGGCUAAACUGUGCACCGAAGCUGCGGCAGCGACGCUUAUGCGUUGUUGGGUAGGGGAGCGUUCUGUAAGCCUGCGAAGGUGUCCUGUGAGGGAUGCUGGAGGUAUCAGAAGUGCGAAUGCUGACAUAAGUAACGAUAA
rnacentral:rRNA from 2 species